rnacentral:rRNA from 1 species
AGAGUUUGAUCCUGGCUCAGAUUGAACGCUGGCGGCAGGCCUAACACAUGCAAGUCGAACGGUAACAUUUCUAGCUUGCUAGAAGAUGACGAGUGGCGGACGGGUGAGUAAUGCUUGGGAACUUGCCUUUGCGAGGGGGAUAACAGUUGGAAACGACUGCUAAUACCGCAUAAUGUCUUCGGACCAAACGGGGCUUCGGCUCCGGCGCAAAGAGAGGCCCAAGUGAGAUUAGCUAGUUGGUAAGGUAACGGCUUACCAAGGCGACGAUCUCUAGCUGUUCUGAGAGGAAGAUCAGCCACACUGGGACUGAGACACGGCCCAGACUCCUACGGGAGGCAGCAGUGGGGAAUAUUGCACAAUGGGGGAGACCCUGAUGCAGCCAUGCCGCGUGUGUGAAGAAGGCCUUCGGGUUGUAAAGCACUUUCAGUUGUGAGGAAAAGUUAGUAGCUAAUACCUGCUAGCCGUGACGUUAACAACAGAAGAAGCACCGGCUAACUCCGUGCCAGCAGCCGCGGUAAUACGGAGGGUGCGAGCGUUAAUCGGAAUUACUGGGCGUAAAGCGCACGCAGGCGGUUUGUUAAGCUAGAUGUGAAAGCCCCGGGCUCAACCUGGGAUGGUCAUUUAGAACUGGCAGACUAGAGUCUUGGAGAGGGGAGUGGAAUUCCAGGUGUAGCGGUGAAAUGCGUAGAUAUCUGGAGGAACAUCAGUGGCGAAAGCGACUCCCUGGCCAAAGACUGACGCUCAUGUGCGAAAGUGUGGGUAGCGAAUAGGAUUAGAUACCCUGGUAGUCC